GCCGUCGUCUUCCGUCCCCGUCCCGUCCCGUCCCACUCCCUCUGGGAUGCAGCGAAAGUUGCUCUCAUUCAGUCCCCUCCUCUCUCUCCGAACCCUAACCCUAUCCCUCACCUCAACCCCUCCCGCCCUUCUUCUGUUCUCUCGCUCCAAGAAGCACUCCCCCUCUCCCUGCGACGAACCCUACGACCCUCCCUUCUCCGCCGUGCCCAAGUCCCCAGCCCCCAAAUCCAAAACCAGAUCCCCCAUCGGAGACAAAUCCCCCGCUCUCCAUUCCGACCUCCCCUUCGACUUCCGCUACUCCUACUCCGAGACCGACGCAUCCGUGAAGCCCAUCGGCUUCCGGGAGCCCCCCCGGUUCUCGCCCUUCGGUCCCGGCCUCUUGGACCGGAAAUGGGACGGCGUAUCGGCGCCGGCGAACGUGGAGGUGCAUCGGGAGAGGGACUCCGAGGCGUGGAACUCGGUGCUCAGUGAUCCGCUCACGGAGGAGGAGAUCGAGCAGCUCGUGGAGCGGUAUCGGCACGAUGACUGCUCUCGCCAGAUCAAUCUAGGGAGGGGUGGUGUAACACAUAAUAUGCUGGAUGACAUCCAUAAUCAUUGGAAGAGAGCAGAAGCUGUGAGAAUCAAGUGUUUGGGAGUGCCAACCCUGGACAUGGACAGUGUCUGCUUCCACCUUGAGGAUAAAACUGGUGGGAAAAUCAUUUAUAGAAAAAUUAACAUUCUCCUUCUAUAUCGUGGUCGGAGCUAUGAUCCAAAACAAAGGCCAGUCAUUCCUUUAAUGCUAUGGAAGCCAUUGGCACCCAUUUAUCCAAGGCUUGUACAAAAUGUUACUAAGGGUCUGACACUCGAGGAAACAAAAGAGAUGAGGAAUAGAGGGUUAAAUUCCCCUGCUUUGUUGAAACUCACUAGGAAUGGUGUGUAUGUGAAUGUGGUGGCAAGAGUAAGGGAAGCCUUCAAAACUUCAGAAGUGGUGAGACUAGACUGCACUCAUGUGGGUACCAGUGACUGCAAGAAGAUCGGUGUGAAGCUAAGGGUAUGCCUAGCAUGCUUCAUUAUCAUGUGCAUAAUUAUGCAGGGUUUUCUUAAUUAUCUGCAUUCUGGAUAAAGAACUUUCAUAUUUGUAAACUAUCUGGUCAUUUGGUAUUCUGGGAGAUGAAAAUGGCAGUAUUGCUCUGGAAUUUUCUUUAAUUGUUUUACGUCCUUUCAUUAGUAAUGCUUCUCCAGCGUCCAGUAUUAUAGCAAGUUGUAACCCCCGCCCCCUCCCUUUCUUCUUCACAUUCUUGAUGUGAAUUUGGACUGGGUAGAUCUCAGAAAAUCUCAUGAUCCCAUUAACAGAAACAGGAAAUCCUCCAUCUGAAAACCUGUAAUGUUAUAUCUAGUAAGAUUAUGAUGCCAGAUAUUGUGAUUGACCCACAAAACAUGAUAAUCAAGAUACAGAUGUGAAUAUAUCAUGCCAUGUUUGUAACUAGCUGAAGCAACUAGCUGUAUGCACAGUAUCAAACUUUUAGCUGCCUUACUGGUUGCUGGGAAAUUUGUUCUUUUAAGGGCACAAAGUUGUACUGAAAUUCAUCUUGAAGGGUUUCAUGGAAAGUAUUUCACGUGCACCAGCAUAGAACUUUAUGUGAGAUGGGAUUUGUGUAUGGGAACCUAAUGAUGCCUAUAUUUGUUUUCCUUUUUCUUUAAGGAUAUAGUUAUCGCAUAACCAAUAAUAUACUGUAUACUCAUGUCAAAAAUAAUUACUGCAGUUCAGGAUUUUCAUGGGAAGCUUUUCUGAUGUCAUGUCAGUAAUCUAAGUAGAGCAAAGAUCAUGUUGCUAUUAAGUCCAUGGUUAUAUCUGGCCAGAGAUUGACCUUGCCAAGAGUCCAGUUCACCUGGUAACUGGUCCAACCAGGUCAAUUGGUCAAUCUGGCUUUAUAUUCAAAUUAUAUUUAACAAAUUUAAAAAUUUAGAAAAAUAGAUAUAAUAUAAGAAAAAUAUGCAUAACACUUUACAAAUUUUCUACUUUAAAUUAUAUUCUUCAAUUGCAGCAUAAACAUAAAAUAAUAUGAAUCAUUUAAGUUUCUAAAAUAUUAUUAGAAAAGUUAUAUAUAAUUAAAAAAGAGUAGAAUUUAUUAAUAAAUUUAAUUAUUAUAAGUUUUGAAAAUACUUAAAAGAAUAAUUUGAUGUAUAUUUUUUUCCUUUUGUACCAAAGGAAAAAAUAAUUGAUUAUUGGAAUAUUACAAUGUGGUUGAAAUAACUCCAUUAGUGACAAUCUUGUAAGUGUAAUAAAUUGUCAUAGUGAAAUAGUUUCAAAGUAUGUCUAAGUGGUUGAGAUGGUUCAGAGUUCAGACCAUAUAAGGGCUCAAGGGAUUAUAAUCUGCACUCAAGUGUUAUUCGCUUACAAUUAUUUUUGAAGUGGGUUCCUGAAAUCCCAGUUUUCCAACCACCUGGAUCAUCCAUUUACUUGAAAUUGGACCAUUUAGGGGGGCCCAGUGCACUGGCUGUCCAGCCCGGCCUGCCAGGAACAAGGAGUUGGUGCCUUGUGUUCCUAUCCUAUUUAAAGAUGGUCAGAUCGUAAUUUGGAGGGGAAAGGGGAUCCCUGGAAUGAGUUAAGUGAAUUCAUGACUUGUUAGAGGCGAUCCCUUUUCUUGGAGUUGGCCUUGAGCAAAAUAUGCUGGCCUGGAGUUUGGAUGGUCUUUAUCAAGCUCCCAUGGUGGAUGUAUGCUUGGGCACCAUGGCCAAGAUUUAGAUGGCUUGACGGGAGACACCCCAUGAUUUUUGCCUUGAUCUCUUUGUUGGGACAAAAUAUUAUUGCUGUCACAACCGGUGGAGAUGGCAAAAGGCUGUGUUCUUGUAUAAGAGGCUUUCUAGAAUCAAGAGUUUUUAUCACGAGUUAUUUUUCUUGGUUAACAAUACUUGUAGUCUGUAAGGCUCUCACAAGAGGAACAAGAGGGAUCCGCCGAAGAAGACCCUUCCCUUUGUUCGGAAGAACAGGAAGAUCUGAGUAGCUUACGCGUCUGGGAACCAAGCUUUUGAACAAAGUCUGUAAGGCUCUUACAAUUCCAUCUCCAUCUACUAAAACCGCCUUCUGCCUGUCCACAUUCAUUUGUUGAUGGGUGAGAGGCAAAGCAGGAGCCCGGGAGAUGCAGUGACAGGUAGGGAGGGGUUCGGGGGAAGUCCUCCCCUGAUACUGAGCCCGGUAGGGCUCGGAACCUUUGUCCCAGCUACCGCUAUCCUUGGGAAACCCAAAGAGCUAUCGAAGGAAAGGAAUGCAGUCUCUCCCUUGGUCAAGGGAGAGGACAGGGCAGAG